AUUGAACGCUGGCGGCAUGCUUUACACAUGCAAGUCGAACGGUAACAGGCCUUCGGGUGCUGACGAGUGGCGAACGGGUGAGUAAUGCAUAGGAACGUACCCCGAGGUGGGGGAUAACGCAGCGCAAGCUGUGCUAAUACCGCAUGUGAUCUGAGGAUGAAAGCGGGGGACCGAGCAGCAAUGUUUGGCCUCGCGCCUUUGGAGCGGCCGAUGUCGGAUUAGCUAGUUGGUGGGGUAAAGGCCUACCAAGGCGACGAUGCGUAGCCGGUCUGAGAGGACGAACGGCCACACUGGAACUGAGACACGGUCCCGACUCCUACGGGGGGGCGCAGUGGGGAAUUUUUGGCAAUGGGGGAAAGCCUGACGCCGCAAAGCCGCGUGAGUGAAGAAGGUCUUCGGGUCGUAAAACCCUUUUUUUAGGGAAGAAAAAGUGUGUCCGUAACUCCGGGCGUCUUGACGGUACCUAAUCAGAAAGCCACGGCUAACUACGUG
rnacentral:rRNA from 1 species